AACACUCUGACAUGAUUUACAAAUGAAGCAUUUGUGUUUGGUGAGUCUGACAGAUCAGAGGCAGUAGGGAUGCUCUCUUGAUAAGUUUGUGAAUUGGUCCAUUAUCCCAUCCUGCUAAGCAUUCAAAAUGUAAUGAGUACUUUUGGUGUCAGGGAAAAUGUAUGGAGUAAAAAGUACAAUAGUGAAGUAAAAGUUGUUAAAAAUAUAAAUAAUAAACUACAUAUACCCCCAAAAAACACUUAAGUAAAACAUCCUUUAAAAUCUACUUAAGUACUUUACAGCACUGGUUAAUUGAGAACUCUCCUGAAAACUCAGGAGCCCUUUGCUAGCUAGGGUGUUAGGGUGUUGGUUUCAGCUAGUCCUAAACCACAGGGGUUUAAACAAAAAACUAGAAAAACAAGGGCUAAGCGAAAAAGAUCAACUGGGGUUUAGGUGCGAUAAACAAAAAACUAGAAAAACAAGGGCUAAGCGAAAAAGAUAAACUGAAAUAGCAGUUGUGGUUAAUGCUGAAAGCUGGGCACACCCAAUCUAUGACGUAGUAGAUGAAGACACGUGAAGCUCUGCUCGGAAAGCAAAGAAUAAACAUUUUUUUUUUAAACGGGGCCUCAAAUCUGAUAUCAAGAUUACCGGCUUGUGAAGAAGGCCUAAAGAAAAUAAUGGGCCAAUCAUAUCGAUUGGAUGCCAUGACGAAUUUGACGCUAUUUUUUUUUCUUUUUUCUAUGCGACUUCCUUCAGCAAAGAUGGCUGACAAAAAUACUAGGACCGAAGCAAUUGUUAGUGACUCCUGAGAAAACCACCAAACCAGGCUGUCGUCUUGUGAAACAGUGGAUGUAAGGAAUAUAGCUAGCUAAAGUUUUACUGAAAAUGUCAUGUGCAUUUUGUACGCUUGCCUUGCUGGUAUUUGCCAUGAAAUGCAGCUGAAGUAAUGUAGCUAGCUAACCAUUGGCUUGCUUAUUGUGUAGUGGAGGAUAAAAAUACCUGUAUGCCUAUGGAUGUGUAGCUAGCUAUAAAAAAAAUAUAGCUAAGAAUAUAUUUAGCUACUGAUCAUGUGCUCUACCUUGGCAAAUAAAGGUGUGGUUCAGGUCAUUUUCAGUCAUAUCCAAUACCAAGAGUAUCAAACUCCAGUCUUUGAAUGAUGCUUUGUCUGCAUGUAUGUAUUACAAUUAUACACUUCAACAGUGUUUACCAAUCCUGGUCCAUCUAUGGUUACACAUUGUAACUAUGCAAUAGACUAGAAACGUGAUUUAACUAGUUAAAGACGGAUUUGUAAUUCACAUAUAUAUAGAAACAGAAUUUAAAAAGAAAGGUACCCUAUACUUUCUAUGUAUCAUGUAAAUACUUGAAUAAACAGUUCAUCUCAAUAUCUAAUUUCCUUCAUCUGCACUGAUCUGAGGACACGGGAUAGGUGUAGUAUUUCAUGAAAUCAGAGACUUUAUUUCAACCAGUAGAGAAUGUGAAAUGCUUUGAAAAAAGUUCAAGUGUUAUAAAUACAUAAUAUUACAAUUAUAAUAAAUGUAUUAUGAAUAAAAGUUCUGUACUUCAUUGCACAUCUGGUGUGCAUUAUAAAAACAGGAAGAAAGAGGAGGUGUGGGGAGAGGUGGGGAGAGAGGUGUGUGAGAGUGAAAGGGAAAGAGGUAAGAACAGAGGAGCAGGGAAGGCAGCAUAUGAUUAAUGAAUUACAAUGCUACUAAACUUAAUAUUCUCUCAGUUCAUCACAAUUACAUAAUAGUGUCUCUAGUGGUGUCUCCUAACCAGCCUUGGGCUCCCAGUCGACCUGAAGGUUAUCUUAAGAGCGGGUGAUGUGGCGAUGACGGGACUGGGGGUUGGCAUCCUCUCUCACAUCAAAACAAAGCUGCAGAUGAGACUGACGGAGAAGAGAGAUAGAUUUUUUUUUUUUUUAAAUACAAGGAUUAAUCAUGCUAACACAGUCAGUCAUCAUAAUCACCAGGAAGUGAAAUGCAAAUCUGACCAAGGAUCAUUAACUCGGGGACAGCUUUUUCUUUAACAAUAAUUCCUGUUGACCCGACCAUGUGACCUCUCACCUCUGAUCAUGCUGUGCCCUCUAUGGAGCCAGCUCAGAUGCAGGAGGGGUUCACCAACACAGCUGAUAUAACCUAGAGGAUUUAGGGAGAAGGGGGAGAGGGAUGAGGUGAAGGAGAGACUGUUAUUGAGAAAAUAUGGUAGUUGAAGAGACACUGUUCAACAGGAAUCUGUGUGUGGCCUCACCUGGUGUCCACACUAAGUGGCUGCAGAGUACGUUAUACCGAAAAACAUAUAGUGUAGUUAUAUAAAUAUAAAUAAUGACGUUUAUUACUAUUCUCCAUAGUUGGUCCUAUUGUCUUUGAAGGUGGCCACAGUUACGGUGCUUUCGGAAAUUGUUUAUACCCCUUCACCCUUUUCCACAGUUUGUUACAUUACAGCCUAAUUACAUUACAGCCUAAUUACAGCCUAAUUACAUUACAGCCUAAUUACAGCCUAAUUACAUUACAUCCUAAUUACAUUACAGCCUAAUUACAGCCUAAUUACAUUACAGCCUAAUUACAUUACAGCCUAAUUACAGCCUAAUUACAUUACAGCCUAAUUACAUUACAGCCUAAUUCUGAAAACAUUUAAUCAAUCUACACACAAUAUCCCAUAGUGACAAAGUGAACAGGUUUUCAGAAAUGUUUACACAUUUAUAAAAAAAUAUACAUAUAAACAUUUACACGAGUAUUCAGACUCUUUGAAGUUGAGACUGGUGUUUUGUGGGUACUAUUUAAUGAAGCUGUCAGUUGCGGACUUGUGAGGCGUCGUGUUUCUCAAACUAGACACUCUAAUGUACUUGUCCUCUUGAUCAGUUGUGCACCGGGGCCUCCCACUCUUUCUAUUCUGGUUAGAGCCAGUUUGCGCUGUUCUGUGAAGGGAGUAGUACACAACGUUGUACGAGAUCUUCAGUUUCUUGGCAAUUUCUCAAAAUGGAAUAGCCUUCAUUUCUCGGAACAAAAAUAGACUGACGAGUUUCAGAAGAAAUGUCUUUGUUUCUGGCCUGUAAUCGAACCCACAAAUGCUGAUGCUCCAGAUACUCAACUAGUCUAAAGAAGGCCAGUUUUAUUGCUUCUUUAAUCAGCACAACAGUUUUAAGCUGUGCUAACAUAAUUGCAAAAGGGUUUUCUAAUGAUCAAUUAGCCUUUUAAAAUGAUAAACUUGGAUUAGCUAAUACAAUGUGCCAAUCAUCACAGGAGUGAUGGUUGCUGAUAAUGGGCCUCUGUAAGCAUAUGUAGAUAUUCCAUUAAAAAUCAGCCGUUUCUAGGUACAAUAGUAACUUACAACAUAGACAAUGUCUACACUGUACUUCUGAUCAAUUUGAUGUUAUUUUAAUGGACAAAACAAAUAGCUUUUCUUUCAAAAACAAAGACAUUUCUAAAUGACCCCAAACUUUUGAACGGUAGUGUAUGUACAGUUGAAGUCGGAAGUUUACAUACACUUAGGUUGGAGUCAUUAAAACUUGUUUUUCAAUCACUCCACAAAUUUCUUGUUAACAAACUAUAGUUUUGGCAAGUCGGUUAGGACAUCUACUUUGUGCAUGACACAAGUCAUUUUCCCAACAAUUGUUUACAGACAGAUUACUUCACUUAUAAUUCACUGUAUCACAAUUCCAGUGGGCCAGAAGUUUACAUACACUAAGUUGACUAUAUCCACAGUAAAACGAGUCCUAUAUCGACAUAACCUGAAAGGCCCCUCAACAAGGAAGAAGCCACUGCUCCAAAACUGCCAUAAAAAAGCCAGACUACAGUUUGCAACUGCACAUGGGUACAAAGAUCAUACUUUUUUAGAGAAAUGUCCUCUGGUCUGAUGAAACAAAAAUAGAACUGUUUGUUUUCCCGAGCUGACAAGGUAAAAAUCUGUCAUUCUGCCCCUGAACAAGGCAGUUAACCCACUGUUCCUAGGCCGUCAUUGAAAAUAAGAAUUUGUUCUUAACUGACUUGCCUAGUUAAAUAAUGGUAUUUAAAAAUGUAUAUAUAUUUUUACUUGAAUAUGUUUGAGGCCAUUUGAUACACUGGCUUGGUAUUACUGCUUGCGUUUUAGUAUGUCAAUCGCAGGACCCACUCUGCCAUUGUCCUGGACCCUACUGGUUCCCCUAAUGCGGAGCACCAUAUGAGUGAAAACCUGGUCAAGCACAUCAGAUACUGGUUUGAGCAACGAAACCCACAGAACCCGGCACAGAAUCUGUGUUGGACAAUGUUCCCCGCCAGGCGACAACAAUACCUCACACCAAGCAAAGCAGUGGUUAGUUAAACAAAACCAAAUCGUGGAUUGCUGAGCUAUCCUUCUGUGACAUCAUAUCAUGGAUUGCUGAGCUAUCCUUCUAACUGUGACAUCAUAUCAUGGAUUGCUGAGCUAUCCUUCUAACUGUGACAUCAUAUCAUGGAUUGCUGAGCUAUCCUUCUAACUGUGACAUCAUAUCAUGGAUUGCUGAGCUAUCCUUCUAACUGUGACAUCAUAUCAUGGAUUGCUGAGCUAUCCUAACUCUGACAUCAUAUCAUGGAUUGCUGAGCUAUCCUUCUAACUGUGACAUCAUAUCAUGGAUUGCUGAGCUUUCCUUCUAACUGUGACAUCAUAUCAUGGAAUCAAUGGCCUAAUUGACAUGUACUUUCACAGAGGGAGUGUUCCACAUGCUCCAGUUGGUACCACACCACCUGUACUGGUGUAUCAUCACCAUCAACACAGAGAUAAUCCUGCCUUACAAUGGAUGUGCCCACCCUGCCACCAUUGAAGGCCUGCACACCAAGGCUACUAUUGCGUCAAUACGGUGUCAAGAUGUUUCAAGGAUGGGGGUCCAACAACGCAGCAAGAGAGGCAAUCUGUGUGUUGGAGAUCUUCACCUACUUCUUCGAAGAGGGUGCUGUUCCCUGGCAACACCAUAGACUACACUAUGCACAACCAAAGGCCCUUUUAAGAGCCAUCCACACUGCACUAAGAGUAUUCUUCCAAGGCCCUCUUCAAAUAAUGAAUUAAAAUGCCUUUAUUUGUAUGGCAUGUUCAAUAGGAACAUGGCCGCAGCCGAAACGCUUCGCAUUUAAACAAAAAAACGUUGUUUCUAUUGAACAUGCCAUACAAAUAAAGCCAUUUUAAUUCAUUAUAUGAAGAGUGCCUUGGUCCUCCUUUUUGAUGACCAAUUUACCUAUUUUACCAUAGAGCUCCUUCUGUCUACCAAAAUGUACUAUUGUGUACCUUAGUAGCGCUUCCCUUCCUCCUCUUUCUAAGACUAUUCUUCUAUUUACUUAGCUAAUGUCAACUGCAGUUAUUCAAUUCCCAGUUUCUCUCCCUUUGAUUUCUACUUAUCAGGUGAGGGUGCUGUUUAAGAGUGUGAUGUCUGUACAAAAACAAACAGGCUAUUUAAGUCACACACAUUUAAAACAAUUAGACACCUUAUAACCCACACAUUCAUGUAUCAAUGUUUGAUGGAUUGUGUUGUGCAGUAAGCAAGCUCAGAUGUAUAACUGUGGCUCCUUUGACUUUAAACAGAAUAGGCAAGAGGAAACUUCAUUAUUUAUAUUUAUAUAACUACACUAUAUUGUUUAUCCUCGUGUGUCUAUGCAUGCUUUUCAGCAUAAAGUACUCUGCAGCCACGUAGUGUGGACAGCAGGUGAGGCCACAGAUUCCUGUUGAACAGUGUCUCUUCAACUAAACUAUAUUUUUAUUUUUGUCUACUUAGUAAAUAUUUUCUUAACUCUUCUUGAAUUGCACUGGUUAAGGGCUUGUAAGUAAACAUUUCACUGUAAAGUCUACACAUUGCAUAGUUACAAUGUGUAACCAUAGAUGUCCCAGGACCAGAAUUGGUAAACACUCUUGAACUUUUAUUCAUAAUACAUUUAUUAUAAUUGUAAUAUAAUGUAUUUAUAACACUUGAACUUUUUUCAAAGCAUUUCACAUUCUCUACUGGUUGAAAUAAAGUCUCUGAUUUCAUGAAAUACUA